ensembl:lncRNA
UAUUUCCAGAUAUUUGACUUCACUUCUCAAGUGAGUUUCCCAAUAACUCAUGGAGAUGAACCACUAAAUGGUUGGAAAUCCUGAAGAAUAUUGACAGACAGCUUCUAGGUUGUUGCAAAUACUAUUCUUUCAUUACUUUUCCCUAACAAUUUAGCCAAAGCUUCACUCAUAUGUCCUGUUAUGAUGCCUGUCAGAUAUCGUGCUGUUGUCUGGGACACCUCCAUCACAUCACUUCUACAUUAACCUUUAGGUUUUAGCUAAAUGUGCUUCAGUGAGACUUUGUCACGUUCCACUAAAGCAGGUUUGCAUUGAUUAUGCACAAUUAUCUCCUUGCAUCGUGGCUAUUCACCUCUACACACUAGCCCCUACCACAGUGAUUUAUUACCAGCUGAACUGUUCAUAGCAGAAACCUGUUUAUCACUGUCACAUGUGCAAGAAGCAGAUAUGAGUAUCUACAUGAUCAGCGUGCCUUUGUGCAUGUGUGUGCACAUGUGCGCAUAUGAGGGUAUUUAACCUGGGGUUAGAUGAAGGUAUGUAGGCUUAUGUAUGUUCCUGAUUAACUCCGUCAAGUCUAUUUUCAACUCCUUACCAAUGAUCAUUACUUUCCUGUUUUACACCAUUUCUAAUGCAAAAAUUGGUCUUUGCAGAAAUCUCUGUAGAUCCUAAAGUAACUCUAUUGAUCACGUUCAACCUGCAUCUAUAUAAGGUCAUUGAAGAUGUUCUUAAGGAAGCAAGACAAUUAAUCAGAACUUGAGUUAAUUAAAGAUUCACUAUGACACUAGAAACCUUCAGAAAUGAUGGAAGGAUCCUGGAAAAUAGGGGCAUUUGAGUUUCAGAAAAUAUAUUCUUCUAGAGUUUCUCUGUGUUUCAGAUAUAACUAUGAUUUUCCUUUUUAAUGAAAUACUAAAGAAAAAAACAAUGAGGUAAAUGUUUUUGAGAGGAUUUAUAUUUUAUUGGCUAAUAUGUAUACUGUUACAGAAUGAAAAUAAAAGAUUCCAGCAUUGCUGCUGCCCUCCUUCACCUGAAGCUACAGAGGGCAAAUGGGAGGAAACUGUGCAAUGCAUUUUAAUAGGAUUAGGCAACUCAAAAGAUAGUUUAACUUUUAACAGAGAAUGAAUUUGUACUCUUUUGUGUCUUUUGCAUCUUUGGCUCAUUAGUU